AUUAAUUAAUUAAUUAAAUAAUUAAAUUAAAUAAAUAAAUAAAAUAUAACAAAUUAUUUUGGACUUGGGUCUCCCUCAUUCCAAGCCCAUUACCCACGAAAUUAGUCUAUAAAUACUGAAGUUUCAGUAGGGGAGUUACACUUGGAGUUAAACUGGGAGAUUCACUGGAAAAAAAAAGGAGGAGGAGAACAGAGAAGAACGAAUAGAAGUUUUGGCAUAGGAACCCUG
rnacentral:lncRNA from 1 species